GAUGAACGCUGGCGGCGUGCCUAAUACAUGCCAGUCGAGCGAACGGACGAGAAGCUUGCUUCUCUGAUGUUAGCGGCGGACGGGUGAGUAACACGUGGAUAACCUACCUAUAAGACUGGGAUAACUUCGGGAAACCGGAGCUAAUACCGGAUAAUAUUUUGAACCGCAUGGUUCAAAAGUGAAAGACGGUCUUGCUGUCACUUAUAGAUGGAUCCGCGCUGCAUUAGCUAGUUGGUAAGGUAACGGCUUACCAAGGCAACGAUGCAUAGCCGACCUGAGAGGGUGAUCGGCCACACUGGAACUGAGACACGGUCCAGACUCCUACGGGAGGCAGCAGUAGGGAAUCUUCCGCAAUGGGCGAAAGCCUGACGGAGCAACGCCGCGUGAGUGAUGAAGGUCUUCGGAUCGUAAAACUCUGUUAUUAGGGAAGAACAUAUGUGUAAGUAACUGUGCACAUCUUGACGGUACCUAAUCAGAAAGCCACGGCUAACUACGCG
rnacentral:rRNA from 1 species